rnacentral:tRNA from 1 species
GGUGUAGUAGCUUAGUGGUAGAGUGCUUGCCUGCCAUAUGUGAGGCCCUGGGUUCAAUUCCUAGAUCCCCUA